CCCAAUCUGUCGACGCUGACGAUGGCCAAUUUCAGACUCAGAACGAUGCUCCACCAAUAAGAUCGUGAGAUCGCAGUGCAGAACGGAGGAGGUUGAAUCUGGAAAGUUCAUAAGGAAAUAUGAGAAAACCGUAGAGCUUAUCCGCAACUGCGUCGGAAGGACUUAGGAGCAAAGCUCCAACUGUGGAAGUGAUGCUCAAGAAUUUGACUAUUGAGGUUGAUUCCUAUGCUGUCAGCACUCAGCAGAGCUUUGCCAAACCUACCAAGCUCUGCAUUGAACAUUGUAGAAAUACUUCUUGGUGCCUGUGGGAUUAGUACUGCUAUGAGAACAAAGCUCAUACUUCCAAAUUUUUCUUCAUUGUUACGAGAUAUAUAGGCUUCAUUGCACAGCGACUUGAUGCUCACUCACCUAGCAACAACUGAUUCAUGUAUCAGAAUCCAAAGAAGACAUCGUGGGUUGGAAAUGGAGAGAAGAGUAAAGGCAGAAUGAGAAAGGAGUAAAGGAUUGCCUUCCACCAAGGGUAAUAACCAACCAACAAGGUGCCUGAACAUAUUGCAAGAUUUUGAAAAGUGACAACUCGGAUAAAAUGGCAGUGUCUAAGCUCAUGUCUAUGUUUUAAUAUAUUCAUUAAGUUAGUCUUAUUGAUGGUUGUAUGUUGUGCCAUCCUUACUAAGGUCUUUUUGCUUAGUGAAGUUCAAGCUUUUUAUUCA